AUGGCUGUUUUUGUCGUUUUGUUGUUGGCAGUGAUGCCCCUUGAUGUUGAACCAGCCACGACUGAAAAACACUCCCUCUACUACAUAUACACAGCUUUAUCCAGACCUGUCAAUCUGCCGGGCAUCCAUGAGUUCACUGCAAUGGGUUUGCUUGAUGACAGACAGAUUGACUAUUACAACAGCCAAGAUCAGAAGAAGAUUCCUAAACAGCACUGGAUGAAAGAGAAAAUGCAGGAAGAUUACUGGGAAAAAGGCACCCAGUCCAGAAAGAGCAAAGAACAGUGGUUUAAUGUGAACGUCAACAUUCUGAUGGACCGAAUGAGACACAAUAAAUCAGAUCUUCAUGUUCUUCAGUGGAGACAUGGUUGUGAAAUUGACAGUCAGGACGAUGAUGUUCGGUUUUCUAAAGGCAUUGAUGAGUACAGUUAUGAUGGAGAAAACUUCUUGUCUUUUGAUGAUGCGGAUUCUCAGUGGGUUGCCCCAGUGGACGCAGCUCUUCCAACCAAGAGGAAAUGGGAUAAUGUGCCCAUCCUAAAUCAGUACACUAAGGGCUACCUGGAAAAAGAGUGUGUGGACUGGCUUAACAAAUUCAGAGAAUAUGGAAAUGAGGAGCUUAGAGAAGGCUCUCCCCCAGAUGUUCAUGUGUUUGCAAGGAGCAUUAUCAAUGGCAAAGCCAAGCUAAAACUCACUUGUCUGGCUACUGGAUUCUACCCCAAAGAUGUGUAUUUGACCAUAAGGAAAUACCGCAUGGCACUGCUUGAUAAAGAUCUAGAAUCCUCAGGAGUUAGACCAAACCAUGAUGGGACCUUUCAGCUUAGAAUGAGCACUUACAUCUACGAGGAUGAAAAAGCAGAAUAUGACUGUUAUGUGAAGCACAGAACCCUUGGAGCACCAAUUAUCAAAAAAUGGGAUGGGAAAUGCAGCGAUUGCUCCAAGGUGACUUUCCUUGGUAUGAUUGUUGGAGCAAUAAUCGGAGCAGUGUUUGUGCUGACAGUCAUUGGCUUGGUAAUUUUGGUCUUAACAAGGAAGAAAGCUCCCAAGAAACCCUUUUACAAAAACGGAAUUGGGGAUAAUGAUCCAAGUGCAAUACCGCUAAAUAAUAAUCAACACAUUGAACCAUCUGUGAAGGAGUCCAAAAAUAAACCGACAGCUGCAGAAGGACAAUCUACUGGUGGAGAUCUGAAAAGUUAA
ensembl:lincRNA mhc1zda major histocompatibility complex class I ZDA